GAUGAACGCUGGCGGCGUGCCUAAUACAUGCAAGUCGAGCGAACAGACGGGGAGCUUGCUCCUCUGACGUUAGCGGCGGACGGGUGAGUAACACGUGGAUAACCUACCUAUAAGACUGGGAUAACUUCGGGAAACCGGAGCUAAUACCGGAUAAUAUAUUGAACCGCAUGGUUCAAUAGUGAAAGACGGUUUUGCUGUCACUUAUAGAUGGAUCCGCGCCGCAUUAGCUAGUUGGUAAGGUAACGGCUUACCAAGGCAACGAUGCGUAGCCGACCUGAGAGGGUGAUCGGCCACACUGGAACUGAGACACGGUCCAGACUCCUACGGGAGGCAGCAGUAGGGAAUCUUCCGCAAUGGGCGAAAGCCUGACGGAGCAACGCCGCGUGAGUGAUGAAGGUCUUCGGAUCGUAAAACUCUGUUAUUAGGGAAGAACAAAUGUGUAAGUAACUAUGCACGUCUUGACGGUACCUAAUCAGAAAGCCACGGCUAACUACGUG
rnacentral:rRNA from 1 species